CAAAAGCAUACGUCCACGUUCACGUGCGUGUUUUUCUCUCUCCAUACGUUUACUUAUUUAUAUUAUAUAUAGAUAUUCAUAGUAUACGUAAAAGUUCAUGCGUACACUGUUACGGUUGCGCAGGUACCUCUUGGCCGGGUGGCUAAAUUGUUUAGAGAUCAACAGAAAGAAACCACCUGCGGUGAAUCUGGAGCCAUGUCUGGACGUGAACAAGAAAUCUUAGGGUCUCUGCUUCUUCUGCACGAACCUAAGUACACGCUGCACCUUUCGCGAGAAAAAAAGGAGGGAUGCGUCGACUGGCGCCAUGGAUUUGUGCAUUGUGGGUGCUGUGGUGGAUACGUGUAGCUGAAGAGAAACGCCGUAAGUCUGUGGGCUGCGGCGAAGUGUUACCCCCUUUCUGGCGCCAAAAACAGGGCGACCUACUCUACUGCGAUGGGCAUGCUUCAAGCAUGCAUACGAGAGACAAGGCGAAGGGUGAUGUGGGGAAGCUGUUAUUGAGCGGGGGGUAUGGACAUGGCUUUUUCUUCCUGCUGUAGCUGGGCUGCCUCUUGGCGAUGAGCAGAGGUGUGUCAGUCGAAUCGAGGUUCCAGGAUGCCAACAGAGCGGCGUAAAGCUUUUGACUUCGAAAAAAGGUGAAAGCACACAUUUGUGUGCAGUUGUGAGUGUGCCGUUGCCUGCAGCCAAGGCGAUGCAACACCAUCGAUUUUCUCAUGUGCGGCUCUGAGGGGGGCUUUGCGUUGAUUCGCUCUUCUUUGCAUCGAACGUGUGACUCUCUCUUCUUCAGAAAGUGAGCCUUUGUCAGGAAUGGUGGUGGCCUGGCCCCGCGUCGGCCCUCGAGCGCUCUUGUUUGAUAUGAACUGGCC
rnacentral:lncRNA from 1 species